AAAAACAUAGUUUUAACUCCGCCUGUGUUUGGAUUCUUCCAUUUCGCAGCCGGUCCCAAGCCCGGAAAAAGGAGGAGGGUUAAUUGUCUUUCAGAAGUCGGAUCUUCAUAAAUAUGAACCAUAUAAAACCUGUAAUAGUUGUGGUUCUCUGUCUCAUAUUCUCUCUCUCUUGUAGGUAAUAGAUGUGAUUCUCUGUCUCGCAGACUCUGUCUCUGUCUCUUGUAGGUUUGCUUGCACGUACAUAUUCCCAUUGUGUAGAGUCUUUCUCUUGUCAGUAUAUGCACUUCUCUCUCUCUUUCUGUCAAAAUGUCCUUUUAUCCUAAAAUCUGUUCAAAAUGAUAACAUUUUCUUGGCUUCUGCUUGUGUACAAUAAUGUUUGCUAUAUCUGCUCAUGACAUGUUUUUGAUUCCCUUUUCUAUUGACUGCAUGUGUGAUGUUAGGGUUGUUCAUUCUGGAAACAGAAGAAACUUUCAGCUUCAGUAGAGUUUUGAGAGUUGUGACUUUGAAGCAACCUUUUAUUCUUUUAAUUAUUGACAAAGUCAUUUGAUAUGGAAUAUGACAUGAUGAUUCUGUUUCAAAUAUCAAGUUGUCCACAUAAGAAGAAGAAUAUCCCCCGAACAUCAUAUUGAAAAAACUCAACACACAGCAUGUUUCUGUUAUACUGGUGAAUAUUUGGAGCAUGCUUUAUGUAAUAAAAUUUAAAUCCUAUACCAAACUGUUUUGGCUGAGAAUUUCUUGUGCAGGUAUAUUUUUCUUCCACCAGCUGCUCCUCUAACUGACUAGUUCUGUAUACAGGAAAAUUGUUGACUUGGGAGUACCUUAGGAAAUGGACAUGUCCAUAUCUUUUCUGAACUUAUGCUUCAUACUCUUAUAUAUGUCACCGUGGUUUUUGGAAGUAAAAUUAUAAUGUUGCUUAAUUGUGCUAAAGAUAUCCUAGUUGAUAACUUCCUUCUUUCCCUCGUUACGACAAUUUUACUUGGAAACAAUCUUGUUCUGCUUGUGUAUUGGCUUUCAAUUUCAUGGCUUGCUUGCGACACUUUUGGUUUCAUAUUGUUCUUUGAAUGAGAUCUUUUGAAGUGAAAAUAUAAGCAGAUUUGUGCUAUAACAUACUUCUUGGAGUAAAUUUGAAAGAUUUUGAGUGAUGGAGAGCCUGAACUAAAAAUACAAGUAAAAAAUCUGCAGCUUUGCAGGGUCAAUCUAUUUUUGGGCUCAAAACAAAUCACUUGGAACUUGACUGCAACUCGUAGAAAUCUUUUCAUUCCUUUGCUCUUCUAAUUUGUAUUCCUUAUCGCUAACUACAUGAAGCAGCAAGUAUUGAUCACUAAUAAUUGUGUAUCAGGAGAAUGGACAACGAUUCGUAAUUAAUUAUAUGAUCUUGGACAUGCAUUCCUCAUUCUAUAGUGAGCUUUUGAGUUGAGUUAAAUCUAAGGUUUAUUAACUUAACACGGUGUAUAUACAUCAGAGCCAAAUAUAUAUAUCUUUGUUAUCGUACAUUUUAGUCGCAUGUUAUAUUGUUCAGAAUACCAGAUCGAUGUUCAGUGAGGUUACCAUUGAUGUCUCACACAUUGUGAAUGAGGAGAAUGUUGUCUCUCCAUAUAAAGCUAGUCGAUCUUGGGCAAACUUACCUAAUGACCUAGAUUUUCUGGAUUUACUUGAUUUUUCUCCAUGUUUGCAGCUGAACUCCUGCGAUUUGAUCUCUACAAUCCCCCUUUUGCAAAGACAGAAGGUAGUGAGAUCUUGGAUGGUGUAAAUUAUGCAUCUGGUUCAGCUGGAAUUUGCUAUAACAGCGGAAGUCAUCUUGGUGAUCGCAUUUACUUGGGUAGGCAGUUGGAGAAUCAUCAAUCAACAGUUUCUCGUAUAGCUAAUUUAGUGGGGAAUACAACUUCAGCUGAAAAGCACUUGAAUAAGUGGCUAUUCAUAGUUGGAUUAGGGAGCAAUGAUUACAUCAACAAUUACUUGUUGCCUGAAAUAUAUCACUCAAGUCAUUUAUAUGCACCAAGCCAGUAUGCAACUGCCUUGAUUGAUCAAUAUUCACGACAUCUAAGAUGAUACCAAGGGUUCUGUAUGCAUCUGCAGUCAUUCCAAGUCUGAUCUUUGCUAGCUGAGCUGAUAUUUUCCUUUGGCUGAUGCCCAAGUCAUUGAUCCUACCCACUAUUGUCUCUCGCUCGAGCUUAUAUUGUGUUUGUUCUUCAAUGUGAACACUGAAAUUCCAUUCUGCCAUGAGGCUGACUUUGUAUGAAGAAGAUGGAGCAAGGAAAGUUGCCUUAUUUGGACUAUAGGGCCAGCAGCAUUCCAGCAGAGCUACAAGUAGAUGUGAGUUCAACAAAUAAUGCAAUUCAACUAUUCAACAGCAAGCUAUAUCUACUAUAAGUAUCCAAAUGCGUAAGCAAGGGCAGAGAUAUCCUGAGAGGUGUCAAUUAUGCUUCUGCGGCUGCUGGAAUUAGAGAUGAAACUGGUAGACAAUUGGGAGGAAGGACUAGUUUUUCUGGACAAGUGUGGUGCAACUUUUAGGAAAUGAAAAUGCAGCUGGUGAUUACAAAUAUUAAUUAUUGUGGAAUUGACAUCUAAUUACUAUAAGAUGUAAUCACAAGUGUUUAAUAUAUAGUUUUAGUGCUUUUUUUGUUUUGUUUUAAUCAUAAAAUAAUGUACUUUUCAGUUCCCAUUUUUUAAUUUUUUUUAUGA